GAUGAAGAACGUAGCGAAAUGCGAUAAGUAAUGUGAAUUGCAGAAUUCAGUGAAUCAUCGAGUCUUUGAACGCACAUUGUGCCCCCUGGUAUUCCGGGGGGCAUGCCUGUCCGAGCGUCAUUGCUGCCCUCAAGCACGGCUUGUGUGUUGGGCCUCCGUCCUCCUCCCGGGGGACGGGCCCGAAAGGCAGCGGCGGCACCGCGUCCGGUCCUCGAGCGUAUGGGGCUUCGUCACCCGCUCUUGUAGGCCCGGCCGGCGCUUGCCGACACAUCAAUCUUUUUUCCAGGUUGACCUCGGAUCAGGUAGGGAUACCCGCUGAACUUAAGCAUAUCAAUAGGAGGA
rnacentral:misc_RNA from 1 species